rnacentral:rRNA from 1 species
ACGGAAGGCAGCAGUGGGGAAUAUUGGGCAAUGGGCGCAAGCCUGACCCAGCAAUGCCGCGUGAAGGAAGAAGGCUUUCGGGUUGUAAACUUCUUUUAAGUGGGACGAUAAUGACGGUACCACUUGAAUAAGCUCCGGCUAACUACGUGCCAGCAGCCGCGGUAGUACGUAGGGAGCAAGCGUUAUCCGGAUUUACUGGGUGUAAAGGGCGUGUAGGCGGGACAUCAAGUCAGAUGUGAAAGCACGGGGCUCAACUUCGUGUCUGCAUUUGAAACUGACGUUCUUGAGUGUUGGAGAGGCUAACGGAACUCCUAGUGUAGCGGUGAAAUGCGUAGAUAUUAGGAAGAACACCAGUGGCGAAGGCGGUUAGCUGGACAAUAACUGACGCUGAGGCGCGAAAGCGUGGGUAGCAAACAGGAUUAGAUACCCUGGUA